rnacentral:rRNA from 1 species
UAAAAUGCACAGGUCGUGAGUUCGAUGAGUAGGGCGGGACACGUGACAUCCUGUCUGAAUAUGGGGGGACCAUCCUCCAAGGCUAAAUACUCCUGACUGACCGAUAGUGAACCAGUACCGUGAGGGAAAGGCGAAAAGAACCCCGGCGAGGGGAGUGAAAUAGAACCUGAAACCGUGUACGUACAAGCAGUGGGAGCACCUUCGUGGUGUGACUGCGUACCUUUUGUAUAAUGGGUCAGCGACUUAUAUUUUGUAGCAAGGUUAACCGUAUAGGGGAGCCGUAGGGAAACCGAGUCUUAACUGGGCGAAUAGUUGCAAGGUAUAGACCCGAAACCCGGUGAUCUAGCCAUGGGCAGGUUGAAGGUUGGGUAACACUAACUGGAGGACCGAACCGACUAAUGUUGAAAAAUUAGCGGAUGACUUGUGGCUGGGGGUGAAAGGCCAAUCAAACCGGGAGAUAGCUGGUUCUCCCCGAAAGCUAUUUAGGUAGCGCCUCGUGAACUCAUCUUCGGGGGUAGAGCACUGUUUCGGCUAGGGGGCCAUCCC